UACGGAGGGAGCUAGCGUUAUUCGGAAUUACUGGGCGUAAAGCGCACGUAGGCGGCUUUGUAAGUUAGAGGUGAAAGCCUGGAGCUCAACCCCAGAAUUGCCUUUAAGACUGCAUCGCUUGAAUCCAGGAGAGGUGAGUGGAAUUCCGAGUGUAGAGGUGAAAUUCGUAGAUAUUCGGAAGAACACCAGUGGCGAAGGCGGCUCACUGGACUGGUAUUGACGCUGAGGUG
rnacentral:rRNA from 1 species